ensembl:lncRNA
AAUCGGGAAAGUGAACUAUUGGGACGUUUAGAGUCAGACAUCUGUGUGUUUUAAAGUGAAUGUAUUCCUCUUCUGCUCAGACCCAGAGGACGACCCAGAGUGGACGCCUUUGAAUCAACGCACAAGCAGCCGUCAACCAGGAGUUCCUCCUCUGCUGCUGCACGUGUUAAUAUGCAACACAUGAGCGAGUUCAACCAUCUUAAAUGCAGAGAUUCAGCAUCUCGUGAGGAGGUGCGGCUAUUGUACCCGGACCCUCCCACUGACACACACAGUCUGGACAUCCAACAGCAGGUUCUUCUUCGUCAACAACAACGCACACUCAGGCUCAUGAAGCGAGAGGAAGAGCCCGGUCAGUGAGCUCAGAGAGAGUUACAGUUUUAGUCUUUCCUUUCUCUCAGUUGUCCCAUCUGUAGUCUUUUAUUCAGGAACCAAAACAGCAAUAAUGUCCAACGCUCCACUUCCCUCCCAUCUCUGGCAAACAAUGUGUCAGGUUUUACAUGCUGUACAUUUCCUCUCCCAUCUGCACUCAUUGUUCCUGGGUAGUGGCUCCGCUCUACCACAGCUAGAUACCUAUCCCUUAGUCAUACAUUUAAUAUUAGUCAUGUAAAUCAUAAGGAUAUCACAUGCUAGAAUCUUUUGCAGACUUUUGUGCCAUUUCCAAAAACACAUGCACAUUUUUGCAAGAGAAUUUCUUCCAUAUCUGUGAUUUUCCAAACUCUUAACAUUUUUCUGUUUUAUAUCUGCAGACAUUUUGCAGCAGCAGCCGAGCCACUCUCGUUCUGUGAGCGGUCAUCACAUUAUAAAUAUGCACUUUGAUUGUAACAGACUAGUGAGGUACAUGUUCAGAUCUUAAGUUAAUUGGUGUUUAUUCUCUCAGAGGAACAAACCUGGACGCUUCCUCCACAGAGACAACAUACUGCCAUCUGAGACAGAUUUCAUUGGUAAGACUGAUCCUCUGUUCUUCUACUUCCUGCAUGAAGAAAGUGUUUACAUCAGUGGGGAACAGUAUGCUCAGGACAUUUUCCAUAAAGGUGACAUGCCUUGGGAGGUCACAAUAACAGCUUCUGUGCCAAAGUCAUUCAGCUCUUUAGUCUCUGAGCCAGGAUGAAGGUGCCAGCUCCGUCUCUGUGCUGCAGCUGGCGGCUGCAGAUAGAUAGCACGCUGCCAGCCAGUAGAGAAACGCUUUAAAAGCGGUUUCAGGACGUGAGGCUUUUGAAUAAUUUCCCUCUUUUCCAUCUGAACCCCUUCCAGUAUUGAAUUAUUUUCAUAUUACACAUAUCUGAACUUUCUAACCUGUGUGCAGCUGUAGAGAGGAGUGUGUGUGUGUGUGUGUGUGUGUGUGACGAUGAAUGUCUUCAUCAGAUGUUUACAGUGGUGAUGUUUGUGGAGAGCGCCAGCAGAGCAGCGCCCCACGCAGGACACGUGACUAUGAUGUACGCUGCUUUUAUUUAAGUCCCUCCAGCACCAGAGCUGAUGCUUUCUGUAGUUCUCAAGUCUCGUCACUUUUCUGAUUUUACAACAUGAAACACAUGAGAAUCUCUUCCUUCUGCUCGUGUCCACGGAUCAGAGGAGCCGUGACCUCCGGACAGAUGUUCAGUCUCUGCAGUCGGAGACCAGUCUGAACCUGGACUCUGAAGUCAGAGCCCACACACAGCACUUUGGGGACGACACAGGCAGGGCAGGUGAGAGGAAACACUUUACAUCCGUGUUGCUCCACUGAAAGACUCGUCUCAUUUUACAU